rnacentral:rRNA from 1 species
UACGUAGGGGGCUAGCGUUGUCCGGAAUCAUUGGGCGUAAAGCGCGUGUAGGUGGCCAGGCAAGUCGGGUGUGAAAGCCCUGGGCUCAACCCAGGAAGUGCACUCGAUACUGCCUCGCUAGAGUCCCGGAGAGGUUGGUGGAACUCUCGGUGUAGAGGUGAAAUUCGUAGAUAUCGAGAAGAACACCGGUGGCGAAGGCGGCCAACUGGACGGUGACUGACACUGAGACGCGAAAGCGUGGGGAGCAAACAGG